UUUCAACAACGGAUCUCUUGGUUCUGGCAUCGAUGAAGAACGCAGCGAAAUGCGAUAAGUAAUGUGAAUUGCAGAAUUCAGUGAAUCAUCGAAUCUUUGAACGCACAUUGCGCCCCUCGGUAUUCCGGGGGGCAUGCCUGUUCGAGCGUCA
rnacentral:rRNA from 2 species